GACGAACGCUGGCGGCAGGCUUAACACAUGCAAGUCGAACGGGUGUAGCAAUACAUCAGUGGCAGACGGGUGAGUAACACGUGGGAACCUUCCUAGGGGUACGGAACAACUCAGGGAAACUUGAGCUAAUACCGUAUACGUCCGUGAGGAGAAAGAUUUAUCGCCCUUAGACGGGCCCGCGUCGGAUUAGGUAGUUGGUGGGGUAACGGCCUACCAAGCCUACGAUCCGUAGCUGAUCUUAGAGGAUGAUCAGCCACACUGGGACUGAGACACGGCCCAGACUCCUACGGGAGGCAGCAGAGGGGAAUCUUGGACAAUGGGCGCAAGCCUGAUCCAGCCAUGCCGCGUGAGUGAAGAAGGCCUUAGGGUUGUAAAGCUCUUUUACCAGGGACGAUAAUGACGGUACCUGGAGAAUAAGCCCCGGCAAACUUCGUGCCAGCAGCCGCGGUAACAC
rnacentral:rRNA from 1 species